GAUGAACGCUGGCGGCGUGCCUAAUACAUGCAAGUCGAGCGAACAGAUGAGGAGCUUGCUCCUCUGACGUUAGCGGCGGACGGGUGAGUAACACGUGGAUAACCUACCUAUAAGACUGGGAUAACUUCGGGAAACCGGAGCUAAUACCGGAUAAUAUAUUGAACCGCAUGGUUCAAUAGUGAAAGACGGUUUUGCUGUCACUUAUAGAUGGAUCCGCGCCGCAUUAGCUAGUUGGUAAGGUAACGGCUUACCAAGGCAACGAUGCGUAGCCGACCUGAGAGGGUGAUCGGCCACCCUGGAACUGAGACACGGUCCAGACUCCUACGGGAGGCAGCAGUAGGGAAUCUUACGCAAUGGGCGAAAGCCUGACGGAGCAACGCCGCGUGAGUGAUGAAGGUCUUCGGAUCGUAAAACUCUGUUAUUAGGGAAGAACAAAUGUGUAAGUAACUAUGCACGUCUUGACGGUACCUAAUCAGAAAGCCACGGCUAACUACGUG
rnacentral:rRNA from 1 species